rnacentral:lncRNA from 1 species
GUCAGAGAUCAGAGGCCGCACCAUCAUAGCAGUGGAACAGGACCAGCUGGGACAGGGUCCUUCUGUGACACCUGCUGCAUCACAAGGCUGUGCGAAUGAACUCAGCUACCAGAACUCACAGAAUAUCAGUAUCAGCACCAAAACAUCACAGGAAAAAUGUUCAAAGGAAGAUAGAAAAGAAUGUUUGUUAUUCCUGUGAGAAGGAGGGGCACAGUCAUUUCUAUGAGUGUUUGACUUCAGGGUGCCUCCUCAGAAACAUACAACCACAUCUUACCUGGGGAGAAACUUCCAACUCUGCAACUUACGCAACUGUGGGUACAAAACAAGUAUUUUGACUAGAGGACAAUAGCUACUAUUGCCACCAGAAAGGUGCCAUUCUGUGCCCUG